UGCAGUGACCUAGAGAGCUUGAGGCUCCUUGAUCCUAUCUGGGAGGCCUGACGGUUGGUUUCCAGAGAAAGGAACUCAGAUAGGACAAAUGUAACUUUUUCA